rnacentral:lncRNA from 1 species
GGGGAAGUUCCUGGAGCGUUUGAAAGUGAUAUAUCCUAUUUCACAGAAACCGAAGACAAUGGUUUGAUGUUUUAAAAUUCAUCCUGUCUUCCAAAUAGCUCUAUGGACUCUGCAUUUCAGUUUUGCUUUUGUUGUUGGAGCGCCUCUCCUCCCCACUCCUAGCUGGAUAAGUAUGCAUCCCACUUAUUCUAUGACAGCAAAGCGGAGUCUGAGAUCAUUUUACUGUACACAGCAGUAUCUGUGAUUACUUUCUGGAGAUGGGAAAGCCUGAUAGCGUUGUAAAGUAAACGAAACUUAAUGUCAAAAGGAUGGAGCCACUGGGAUUCUGCAAAUUUCCAAGAAACAGGCG